UCUGGUAAAUGUGGAACAGGUGAUCACAUGAGAGCAUCUUCCUGAAGUGGUUCACUUAAACAGAUCGACCUGAACAGGGUGUGCAUGAAGGUGCGUGGGCCUUAAUUGGGUCAGGUGUGCAAGAGAAACCAGAACUCCACAACAACUAGCCGCCGCAGCAGAUCUCUGCCCACCUUUAUCAGCACGCCCAGAGGAGCCAGGUCGUUUCGCAGGGCGUCGCAGGCUUUCAGCAGAGGGAUCCUCUCUGGGUGAAGUCCUGGUUUACUGAGGUUUCCGUCGGCCGGGGGGUCCUGACGGGCGAGGGCGAACGCUCGAACUUCACUUCUGAAACGAGUCAGCUGAUCCACAACGCCCUCCAGACUUGCAGAGGAAUCGACCGCGGCGGCUUCCUGGGGAAAGAUACAUGAAAGUAGAGCAUGAUGGGUAGCAGGAGAUGAAGAGGGGUCUGUUGGAUUGAAAUUUUGUGGGUGUGUCAUCUUGUCUGAUUAUGGCCAGACUUUGUGGAAAUAUAAAAAAACAUCCAGGAAUAAUGACUGUUUGUAAAAAAGA